rnacentral:rRNA from 1 species
GUAACAAGGUCUCCGUUGGUGAACCAGCGGAGGGAUCAUUAUAGAGUUUUCUAAACUCCCAACCCAUGUGAACUUACCAUUGUUGCCUCGGCAGAAGCUGCUCGGCGCGCCUUACCUUGGAACGGCCUACCCUGUAGCGCCUUACCCUGGAACGGCUUACCCUGCAACGGCUGCCGGUGGACUACCAAACUCUUGUUAUUUUAUGGUUAUCUGAGCGUCUUAUUUUAAUAAGUCAAAACUUUCAACAACGGAUCUCUUGGUUCUGGCAUCGAUGAAGAACGCAGCGAAAUGCGAUAAGUAAUGUGAAUUGCAGAAUUCAGUGAAUCAUCGAAUCUUUGAACGCACAUUGCGCCCAUUAGUAUUCUAGUGGGCAUGCCUGUUCGAGCGUCAUUUCAACCCUUAAGCCUAGCUUAGUGUUGGGAGCCUACUGCUUUUGCUAGCUGUAGCUCCUGAAAUACAACGGCGGAUCUGCGAUAUCCUCUGAGCGUAGUAAUUUUUAUCUCGCUUUUGACUGGAGUUGCAGCGUCUUUAGCCGCUAAACCCCCCAAUUUUUAAUGGUUGACCUCGGAUCAGGUAGGAAUACCCGCUGAACUUAAGCAUAUCAAUA